GAUGAACGCUGGCGGCGUGCCUAUCCAUGCAAGUCGAGCGAACAGACGAGGAGCUUGCUCCUCUGACGUUAGCGGCGGACGGGUGAGUAACACGUGGAUAACCUACCUAUAAGACUGGGAUAACUUCGGGAAACCGGAGCUAAUACCGGAUAAUAUAUUGAACCGCAUGGUUCAAUAGUGAAAGACGGUUUUGCUGUCACUUAUAGAUGGAUCCGCGCCGCAUUAGCUAGUUGGUAAGGUAACGGCUUACCAAGGCAACGAUGCGUAGCCGACCUGAGAGGGUGAUAGGCCACACUGGAACUGAGACACGGUCCAGACUCCUACGGGAGGCAGCAGUAGGGAAUCUUCCGCAAUGGGCGAAAGCCUGACGGAGCAACGCCGCGUGAGUGAUGAAGGUCUUCGGAUCGUAAAACUCUGUUAUUAGGGAAGAACAAAUGUGUAAGUAACUAUGCACGUCUUGACGGUACCUAAUCAGAAAGCCACGGCUAACUACGUG
rnacentral:rRNA from 1 species